rnacentral:misc_RNA from 1 species
CAGAGUUAUCCAACUCCCAAACCCAUGUGAACUUAUCUCUUUGUUGCCUCGGCGCAAGCUACCCGGGACCCCAGCGCCCCGGGCGGCCCGCCGGCGGACAAACCAAAACUCUUGUUAUCUUAGUUGAUUAUCUGAGUGUCUUAUUUAAUAAGUCA